rnacentral:rRNA from 1 species
AUUUGCGCAGGAUAGGUGGGAGGCUUUGAAGAUAUUCUUGCGGGAAUAUUGGAGCCGUUGUUGAGAUACCACUCUUGUAAAGCUAGAAUUCUACCUUAUACCGUUAUCCGGUUAAGGAACAUUCUCUGGUGGGCAGUUUGACUGGGGCGGUCGCCUCCUAAAAGGUAACGGAGGCGCACAAAGGUUUCCUCAGAUCGGUCAGAAAUCGAUCGUAGAGCGUAAAGGCAUAAGGAAGCUUGACUGCGAGACUUACAAGUCGAGCAGAGACGAAAGUCGGUCUUAGUGAUCUGACGGUUCCGAGUGGAAGGGCCGUCACUCAACGGAUAAAAGUUACUCUAGGGAUAACA